ensembl:lncRNA
GGUUAACAGUAUGUCACUCUGGGAAUAGAAUCCAUUUUUACAUUUUGAGAAAAUUGUGAAGCGUGUCAACAUGUGUUUUCAUUUAUGUACACACAUGCAGACAUUGGUACACUUGAUUUGCUGCACUUGUAUGUGUUUGAGCUCUAAUUUCAUUUAUUUUAAUAAUAUUAAUUUAUUUAUUUGGCAGCCCCAGGUCUUAAUUGUGACACACUGGAUCUUCGAUUUUUUAUUUGCGACAUGCAGGAUGUUUUAGUUGCGGCAUGUGGGAUCUAGUUCCCUGACCAGAGAUCAAAAUUGGGUCCUCUGCAUUUGGGAGCAUGGAGCCUUAGCUACUGGGCCACCAGGGAAAUCCUUGAUCUCUAGUAUUUAGCUAUUUCAACAGAUAUUUACAAUCAAGAACGAAAAGUGAAAACCCGAGAAGGCAUUUGUCAGUUAACCAAGAGGAGUCUACAAUGAGUGCUCCAGGGAAGGCUGCACAAACUACUGCAGAAACCUGGAGGAAGAAGAAAACUAAAAGUAGACACCAUUUACAGGUCUUCAUACUUUUCCUUCAGUGAACAUUAUGGCCUAAUACUCUCAUUCUGAGAAAUGAUGCUCAACCCCAAAUAAAAAGCAACGUACCUUAAUAAUGAAGAUGGACAGUUUGUAACUUGCUCCCACCACACAAUCCCACUUGAUGGUCAUGACAAAACCUUACUGAGAAGGCAGGGCAGGCAGGACAACCUUGUGCCCAGCAGACACCAUGGACUUGCUUCAAGUCUCCCAGCUAGUCAUCUUUUAUAUAAGAUCUUCAGGUUUCCUUUUUAUUCCAAAAACAUGGAAUGAAUAACUUCCCCCCCCUUCCCCAUAAUCUUAGUAUUUUUAAAAAUACCUUGUUUUAAGUCUCAACUUUAUACUCUUAAAUAAAACACUUCUAAAUAGCUCACUUAUUUUUCCUUGUAAUAUUUGGGUCUUCAUUGUAAAUGCUUUAGCAGGUGAAUGGUGAGUGGCAGUACAUUUGGGGCACCAUAAAGCUCCCCAAAUAUUUACAUUUCUUGCUGCUUUCCAGGUGGCAUUAAAUAGACCUAUUUUACAAAAAGCGCUCCCCCCACCAUCUCAUACUGUGGCACUUAUUCACCUAAAAUGUUCUCGGCAUGCACAUG